AGAGUUUGAUCCUGGCUCAGGAUGAACGCUGACAGAAUGCUUAACACAUGCAAGUCAACUUAAACUUCGGUUUGGGUGGCGGACGGGUGAGUAACGCGUAAAGAACUUGCCUCACAGAUAGGGACAACAUUUGGAAACGAAUGCUAAUACCUGAUAUUAUGAUUUUAGGGCAUCCUAGAAUUAUGAAAGCUAUAUGCGCUGUGAGAGAGCUUUGCGUCCCAUUAGCUAGUUGGAGAGGUAACGGCUCACCAAGGCGGUGACGGGUAGCCGGCCUGAGAGGGUGGACGGUCACACUGGGACUGAGACACGGCCCAGACUCCUACGGGAGGCAGCAGUGGGGAAUAUUGCACAAUGGGCGCAAGCCUGAUGCAGCGACGCCGCGUGAGGGAUGGAGGCCUUCGGGUUGUGAACCUCUUUCGCCAGUGAAGCAGGCCUGCCCCUGGUGGGUGGGUUGACGGUAGCUGGAUAAGAAGCGACGGCUAAAUACGUGCCAGCAGCCGCGGUAAUACGUAUGUCGCAAGCGUUAUCCGGAAUUAUUGGGCAUAAAGGGCAUCUAGGCGGCCAGACAAGUCUGGGGUGAAAACUUGCGGCUCAACCGCAAGCCUGCCCUGGAAACUGUUUGGCUAGAGUGCUGGAGAGGUGGACGGAACUGCACGAGUAGAGGUGAAAAUUCGUAGAUAUGUGCAGGGAAUGCCGAUGAUGAAGAUAGUUCACUGGACGGUAACUGACGCUGAAGUGCGAAAGCUGGGGGAGCGAACAGGAUUAGAUACCCUGGUAGUCCCAGCCGUAAACGAUGAUUACUGGGUGUGGGCAUGAAGAGUGUCCGUGCCGAAGCUAAUGCGAUAAGUAAUCCCGCCUGGGGAGUACGGCCGCAAGGCUGAAACUCAAAGGAAUUGACGGGGACCCGCACAAGUAGCGGAGCAUGUGGUUUAAUUCGAAGCAACGCGAAGAACCUUACCUAAGCUUGACAUCCCUCGGACAGGUGUUUAAUCACACCCCUUCCUUCGGGACUGAGGUGACAGGUGGUGCAUGGUUGUCGUCAGCUCGUGUCGUGAGAUGUUGGGUUAAGUCCCGCAACGAGCGCAACCCUUGUCUUUAGUUGCCAGCAUUCAGUUGGGCACUCUAGAGAGACUGCCAGGGAUAACCUGGAGGAAGGUGGGGAUGACGUCAAAUCAUCAUGCCCCUUAUGCUUAGGGCUACACACGUGCUACAAUGGGUGGUACAGAGGGUUGCCAAACCGUGAGGUGGAGCCAAUCCCUUAAAGCCAUUCUCAGUUCGGAUUGUAGGCUGAAACUCGCCUACAUGAAGCUGGAGUUACUAGUAAUCGCAGAUCAGAAUGCUGCGGUGAAUGCGUUCCCGGGUCUUGUACACACCGCCCGUCACACCACGGGAGUCGGAAACACCCGAAGCCGAUUAUCCAACCGCAAGGAGGAAGUCGUCGAAGGUGGCGUCGAUAACUGGGGUGAAGUCGUAACAAGGUAACC
rnacentral:rRNA from 1 species